UACGAAGGGGGGCUAGCGUUGCUCGGAAUCACUGGGCGUAAAGGGUGCGUAGGCGGGUCUUUUAAGUCAGGGGUGAAAUCCUGGAGCUCAACUCCAGAACUGCCUUUGAUACUGAAGAUCUUGAGUUCGGGGAGAGGUGAGUGGAACUGCGAGUGUAGAGGUGAAAUUCGUAGAUAUUCGCAAGAACACCAGUGGCGAAGGCGGCUCACUGGCCCGAUACUGACGCUGAGGCACGAAAGUGUGGGGAGCAAACAGG
rnacentral:rRNA from 1 species